GGGAACUCUGUGAAGGAAAGAGAGGAUCAGACGAACAACAUUCCUUGCAGCCCUCACAAGCGGGAAGCUGAGGUGCCGUCGCACAGUUGAAAAUGUGGAUGAAGACUUCCAUUAUAAUGUAUUUCUUUGUGUUUUUUUGUGUUUUUAUUGGAUAUAUGGAAUGUAAAGGUGAUGACAUACCAGGCUGUGAUAGUUGUAUUAAGACUACAAAAACAGGUAACCAGAUAUCCCAAACUCUUAUUU